GGCUUGCCAGAAGUGGCAAAUCAGAGGCUGGAGCUUCUGGGUCCUAAAGACCACUGAUCGAGGCCUAUUCUUUAAGGCAUUAGAUGGUGACAAGAUCGGCAGCUAUGACACAAACUCUCACAACUUGGAAACUUCACGAACUAAAUCCUUUCUGCUGUAUGGAAACUAUUCUCCUAAACAGAAAACGUGAUUCAUCUGCUGGGAAGAAACUGUUGCCUUGGAUGCGAUGGCUCAUUCUUCUGAACUGAAAUCAAAUUAAACUCAUGUGGCCCCGAA